CUGCUUGCAGUGAUUGAUUAGUGGCGAACGGGUGAGUAACACGUGAGGAACUUGCCCAUGAGCGGGGGACAACAUUCGGAAACGGAUGCUAAUACCCCAUAGGUGGAUUGGUCGCAUGACGAAUUCAUUAAAGGUGGCUUUGCUACCACUCAUGGAUAGCCUCGCGGCGUAUUAGCUAGUUGGUAAGGUAAUGGCUUACCAAGGCAGUGAUACGUAGCCGACUUGAGAGGGUGAUCGGCCACACUGGGACUGAGACACGGCCCAGACUCCUACGGGAGGCAGCAGUAGGGAAUCUUCCACAAUGGGUGCAAACCUGAUGGAGCAAUGCCGCGUGAGUGAAGAAGGUCUUCGGAUCGUAAAGCUCUGUUGUUAGAGAAGAACACGUGCUAGGUAACUACUAGCGCCUUGACGGUAUCUAACCAGAAAGUCACGGCUA
rnacentral:rRNA from 1 species